rnacentral:rRNA from 1 species
GACGAACGCUGGCGGCGUGCUUAACACAUGCAAGUCGAACGGAAAGGCCCUGCUUUUGUGGGGUGCUCGAGUGGCGAACGGGUGAGUAACACGUGAGUAACCUGCCCUUGACUUUGGGAUAACUUCAGGAAACUGGGGCUAAUACCGGAUAUGAGCUCCUGCGGCAUGGUGGGGGGUGGAAAGUUUCGGCGGUUGGGGAUGGACUCGCGGCUUAUCAGCGUGUGGGUGGGGUAGUGGCUUACCAAGGCGUUGACGGGUAGCCGGCCUGAGAGGGUGACCGGCCACAUUGGGACUGAGAUACGGCCCAGACUCCUACGGGAGGCAGCAGUGGGGAAUAUUGCACAAUGGGCGGAAGCCUGAUGCAGCAACGCCGCGUGCGGGAUGACGGCCUUCGGGUUGUAAACCGCUUUCGCCUGUGACGAAGCGUGAGUGACGGUAAUGGGUAAAGAAGCACCGGCUAACUACGUG